rnacentral:rRNA from 1 species
UACAGAGGUCCCGAGCGUUGUUCGGAUUCACUGGGCGUAAAGGGUGCGUAGGUGGCCUGAAAAGUUUGAUGUGAAAGCUCAGGGCUUAACCCUGAAAUGGCAUUGAAUACUGUCGGGCUGGAGGUUUGGAGGGGGGACUGGAAUUCUUGGUGUAGCAGUGAAAUGCGUAGAUAUCAAGAGGAACACCAGUGGCGAAGGCGAGUCCCUGGACAAUACCUGACACUGAGGCACGAAAGCCAAGGGAGCAAACAGG